rnacentral:ncRNA from 1 species
GAGAGCACAGUACGAUGAAAGUUGUAAGCUGUGUUCGGGGGGGAGUUAUUGUCUAUCGUUCACCUCUAU